rnacentral:piRNA from 1 species
UCCAUGUGCUGGUGGUGGCUAGCGCCCAUGGU